GACGAACGCUGGCGGCGUGCUUAACACUGCAAGUCGAACGGAAAGGCCCUGCUUUUGUGGGGUGCUCGAGUGGCGAACGGGGGAGUAACACGUGAGUAACCUGCCCUUGACUUUGGGAUAACUUCAGGAAACUGGGGCUAAUACCGGAUAGGAGCUCCUGCUGCAUGGUGGGGGUUGGAAAGUUUCGGCGGUUGGGGAUGGACUCGCGGCUUAUCAGCUUGUUGGUGGGGUAGUGGCUUACCAAGGCUUUGACGGGUAGCCGGCCUGAGAGGGUGACCGGCCACAUUGGGACUGAGAUACGGCCCAGACUCCUACGGGAGGCAGCAGUGGGGAAUAUUGCACAAUGGGCGGAAGCCUGAUGCAGCAACGCCGCGUGCGGGAUGACGGCCUUCGGGUUGUAAACCGCUUUCGCCUGUGACGAAGCGUGAGUGACGGUAAUGGGUAAAGAAGCACCGGCUAACUACGUG
rnacentral:rRNA from 1 species